rnacentral:rRNA from 1 species
UGAACGCUGGCGGCGUGCCUAAUACAUGCAAGUCGAGCGAACAGACGAGGAGCUUGCUCCUCUGACGUUAGCGGCGGACGGGUGAGUAACACGUGGAUAACCUACCUAUAAGACUGGGAUAACUUCGGGAAACCGGAGCUAAUACCGGAUAAUAUUUUGAACCGCAUGGUUCAAUAGUGAAAGACGGUUUUGCUGUCACUUAUAGAUGGAUCCGCGCCGCAUUAGCUAGUUGGUAAGGUAACGGCUUACCAAGGCAACGAUGCGUAGCCGACCUGAGAGGGUGAUCGGCCACACUGGAACUGAGACACGGUCCAGACUCCUACGGGAGGCAGCAGUAGGGAAUCUUCCGCAAUGGGCGAAAGCCUGACGGAGCAACGCCGCGUGAGUGAUGAAGGUCUUCGGAUCGUAAAACUCUGUUAUUAGGGAAGAACAAAUGUGUAAGUAACUAUGCACGUCUUGACGGUACCUAAUCAGAAAGCCACGGCUAACUACGUG